GCAGAGGAGGGAGGAGAGCUAGAGGGGAGAGAGAGCGAGGGAGAGAGAGAGGGAGGCAGGCUGCUGCUAUCAGGGAAUACUGGUGCCAUUUUCAGCAUCGCAGGGUAAAAGGAUUGAGCCUCGCCGCUGUACGCUUGGCUCGGCUCAGCUCAGCUCAGCUCGCCUCGGCUCACACCGGCUGGACACGAAGGGGGGGAACUGGAGGGGCAACGAGAGGAGGAGAGCACGGCUGACCCCUAACACAGAACCCCCAACCCCCCUCCCCCCUUUCCCAUCUCACCUCACCUCCCCCUCCCUGCUCUGGCUACAGACGGAGAGCGUUAUGCAGUCCUUCCGUGAGCGCAGCGGUGGUUACCACAGCAACCAACCCUGCUACCAGCAGGAGCCCCAUGAAUUAUCCCGCCUGGAGACCUACCGGCAGCACCCGCAUCAUCCCCACCCCCAGCAUCCGCACCCAGGCCCCGGUCCACAUCCAGGCCCAGGCCCGGGGCACGCCAGGUCAGGCUAUGAGGCCCAUUCCCUCACAAACCCUACGAGCAUGCCUCAAGCUGGUGGAAUCGGAGGACCCAAGGACUGUUACAGCCAGCAAGCCUACGCUGGAUACCCAGGAAAUGGUGGCGGGAAUGCCAGUGGAAAUGGGGGCUCGGCACCAUCACAGGCAAAGAAAACCUUCAGAGGAAACAAAGUGCCACAGCCAAACCCCGGUCAGCACCUGCAGGGUCCUGGGGGCUACAGUAACCACAUGGGCCCUGGGAAUUACUCAGCCCAGUACAUGAGUGAAGGCCACCUGCAGCAGAAGUGGGAGGACCCAGCCCAGCUAGCACAGUAUGACCAGGAGAUGGUGGGACGGUUGGAGGCUGCUGGCACCCCUGCGCCUAGCUCCUCUCAGUACAUGGACCAGAACAUGCUGGGGCACUCCCAGACGCAGUGCCACCAGUCCUCCACCCCUGCCUAUACCAGCCCCCACCACCAGCCUCACCCACCUAACCCUGCCCCCUCACCUCUCAUGUACCCGCAGAGUCACCUGCACUACCCUCAGCACUCAAACUCCCCAUCGUCAUACAUGGAAAAGUGCAGCCCGAUGCCACAUUGUUACAAAGGUUACAACAUGCCUCCAAAUUCCCAGUACGGAAGGCAAAUGAGCAGCCACAGCAAUCUGAAGCAGGGAGGCUACAGGUCGACCCAGAACAGUUACGGUUACCAGCAGCCUCCCUCCAGAGGUUAUGAACAGCAGCCCCCUUUACAGGCCAUGACCAACCCCCAGGAGUCCCACCCCAAAUACCAACACUACAGCCAAGCCCAACAAAACUACUGUCUCUCAGAGCUGCCUGUCAGAUCACCAGAACAGUAUUAUCAGACUUGUAGCCCCUCCUCAAGCCACUCCCCUGCACGCUCUGUAGGCCGCUCCCCCUCGUAUAGCUCCACCCCUUCGCCACUAAUGACCAAUCCAGAGUCAUUCCAGUACGGUCAGCCACCCAUGACCCCUGGAACAGCCUCAUCCUCAUCAUCCUCCUCCACUGGAAUGCAGGAGCAAACCAGUACUAACCCCAUGCUGAUGCCCCCACGCUCACACCCCUCACCCAGUGUACCCCACGCAGCCCCCCACAGCUUCACUACGACACCGCAGGUCCCCACCAUGAAAGAACGUUUCUCAGAAAAACUGUUAUCAAACCCCAGCUUGUGGAGCCUGAAUGCCCUCACCUCUCAGGUGGAGAACAUCUCCAAUAACGUCCAGCAGCUGCUGCUCUCUGAAGCCCUGGUUGCAAACAAAAAAGGCAGCAAACGCAGCAGCGGUGGCAGCAACAGCAGUGCUGGAAGUGUUGCAUCCUCCAGAAAGGGUGAGGAGUACAAAAGUCCUCCAUAUCCAGAUGGGGGUGGUAGUGUUGGUGGGGGACCCAUGCAGGACCCUUACUCCACCCCACAGCACCAGCCAAUGCCCAUGGAGCUCCAUGAGGGCGGCUACUCCAGCAGCAGCGAUGAGCCACUGGAAAGGGGCUACUACUACUUUGGCCAGGGCAGAAGUCCAGCUCAGGCUCACAAUAGCACGCAACUCAGCCUGGACACAGCGUCCUCAUGCUCCAUGGCAUCUCCAGAUGAUAUGUCUACUCGGUCUGGGGACUCAGGUCUGCACAACCUCACACCUGACCCUACUAGAUGUCAGUCGGGGCAAGGAGGAGAUGGCAUAAGUACACCAGUGAAGAGCAUAGGCGAUGAGAGGUCACCAACAAGUAUUACAAUCCCCAGUCCUAUGAAACAAGAGAGAGACUCACCUUCUGAUAUACAGCAUAUUAAUGAGCCUGUAAAAGAGAAUUUUGAAGAAUCAGCCUGGACAGAAAAACCAUGUGACAAGGAGGAGGUGACAACGGACAAAACUCCUGACCAUGAGAGACACUCAGAGACAACUAAAUCCCCAGAGAAGCUAGAGAAAUGGUCAGAUGAAGAGAAAAGCCCAGCUGUCUACAGCAAAAUAAACAAAGAGGUUACAGAAAAAAGUUACUGCUAUGAGGAGACAGUGUACCAAGAGGUCCAGAGCAAAUACGACCCUGAUGCAAGAGACUCAGUCGAACAGUCUCCAGCAGCUCUCUCUGACUCCAGCCACAAAGGUCACUUUGGCCAAGAGAUGAAAUCAGAGGCCUUCAAAUCAGAAUCUCCGACUGCGUCUGAGAGCUCAGUGAAAACAUUGCCUUUUAUUUCUACAGGCGACCUUGAACCAGAUCAAUAUUCAACGGAGAAGGAGGACAGCUCAGAGAACACCUCUCCAACACCCCAAGUUGAGGCCUUGGAAGAGAGCAACUCAGACAAGAGAGAGAGUAGAGAUCAGGAGAAUGAAGAGGAAGAAGAGGGAGGAGGAGAAGAGGAGGAUAAUAAAGAGGAAGAAGAAGAAAUACAGAAACAACAGGAAUGUUCUCUAUCGCCUCCUUUGUCUGCAGAGGGGAGGGAGGAACAGGGGGAUGAGGAGACAGUGAGCCAGUCAUCAACUGAGGAGAACAUGAAUAAUAGAGACGGGCCAGAGAAGCCUUCUGGAGAUCUCAGCAGCAGGACGGAGAGUCAGACCGCUGAGCUCCAUACUGACAAUGAGUUUGCAGGAGCACCUGCACAUCCAAACACAGCAGCAGCAACAGCAGCAGCAGAUGCAUCUACAAUGGAGUCAGCGAUUGGUGAUACUGCUCCUCAGCCGCAGUCUGCUAUGCCAGUCUUUUCUGCUCUCAAUGACAAAGCAGCACCUCCAGCUCAGGCCAGGGAUCAUAUUGAUCACAGUGACGCUAAAGUGCUGGAGCCAGACUCUCCUCAGCUACCAGGGAAGUCGAUACUUCCCUCAGCCCCCUCCUGGGCAGACACCCCACCCUCCCCGAAAAAAGGUGAUGAGGACAUGGAACCAGGCAUCAGCUGUGCCAGUGCUGUGACCCCCUUGGCCAAGCCAGAGCCUGUAGUCCCAUCUGCUCAGCCGAGGGCAUUCGGACGUAAGCAUGCCAGAGGCAGAAGGAGAAUCAUGCAUUCAGGUGCAGGAAUCAGGCGACAGCUAAGCUUAGAAAGGGAAGGGGAAAAGGAAGAGGAAGGAGCUCAUUCGCCUACGCAAAAACCGAGCAUGCCUCCGAGCAAAACUGUGCUAUUCUCAGAUCAAAUGGACCUCGCUCAUCAGGAAUCUAUUGUGAGCCAAACUCCCAAAAUGCUAACUGAUGGUUUUCGUUCUAGAAUGUGCACUCGCUCAUUCAAUGCACCUGAUUUGCCACCAAAAGUUGAACCUCAUGUCAAGAGAAAACCAGGCCCAAAACCAGGGUCAAAGCCUGGCUCAAAACCAGGGCCCAAACCUGGUCUAAAACCAGGGCCCAAACCAGGAGCAAAGCCAGGGGCAAAACCAGGGCCUAAACCUGGUUUAAAGUCUGGACCAAAACCCGGACCAAAGCCCGGGCCAAAACCAGGGUCAAAACCUGUGCCAAAUGAACCAGAGCUGCCACCGAAAAUUGAGACUCCUGUAAAACGAAAACCAGGACCGAAACCCGGUUCAAAACCUGGGCCAAAACCUGGAUUAAAACCUGGACCAAAACCUGGUCCAAAACCAGCUCUAAAGCCUGGUCCAAAACCAGGACCUAAGCCUGGACCUAAGCCCUUAGAUGCGCUGCCUCCCGCUGAUAGUGCAACCAUAAGGGCCCCAGUGGGUCGCCCUAAAGGCUCAGUUUCUAAAACAAAAGUGGUGCAACAAGAAGAAACAGUUCAACCUUUAACGGGACUGCAAAGCAGAGGCAGAAAGAGUCAAAAAGCUGCAACAUCAGUAAACCAGGAUGAAAAACUGACACGACCAGAUGAAAAACAAGCACAGCAGGAGGUCAAGGCUCCAGAGAAGGAGGGUAAGAACAUGGUCUUGAGAUCCAGAAAGUCUUCGCAAGAAAAACUGUCAAAAGAAAAGGAAAAAAUCUUAAAUGAAGACUUUCUAACACAGACAAUAACAGAAAUUAAAGCAAGUGAUGUUUCUCCAAAAGUAGAAGAGCUCACACCUGUGGAACAAACUCUGACUCCCCUUCCCGAUGCAGUCAAAGACACAGAUGUUCCAGGAGAACCACCUGCACUGCCAGUCCCAACUGAGCAAUGUGAAGAAAAGGUAUCCCUUCCACUGAAGCGGAAACCUAGCCCAGAGCUUUCUACAACACCAGUAAAGAAAAAAAGAGGUCCAAAGCCCAAACCGAAACCUUUACCACCAGAACCCACCCUGCUGGAACAGGUUGUCCCUGCACCUAAUGAAAAGGGGGUCCGAGGCCCCAAAAGAAAGCGAGGGCCACCCAAAAAAGCCUCGGUGGUCGUUCCUGUAACCAAAGACUCUCCUCCCAGCAUCAGUGGAUCUGACAUCACUAGUGAUGUGCCCGUGGUGCCUCCUCAGUGCCCCACGAAAACAAAAGUUCUCCCACCACGCAAAGGCAGAGGACAGAAAUAUGAGGCCAUGGUGCAGAAGAUUACGUCCCCCGGCUCAAAGAAACACCUCCCAAUUACCCAGCUGGACAGCAAUCUAACGGAUGAUGUGACAACCAAGGCUUUGUCUGAACAUGUCUUAAAAGAAGGGGAGACAUCUAUGCUACUAAACAACACCAACAUGACAGAAGGACUGAAACAGCAAGAGGGAGUGGUGACAAAAGCAGAAGUGGCACAAGAAAGAGAAAAACAUGAGGCGACUGAAGAGGUAUCAAAACCAGAAGGGCUGAGACAAGGGGUGGAGGAAGAGGUUGUAAAUAAGAAUGAGACAAAACUGGAGGAUGUCGCAGCUGACAAGGUUUGGAGUUCAACAGAGUCUCCAGUAGAAGUCCUGGCUCCAGGUGAGUGGACACAACAGCCCUUAGAAGGUGCAUCUACUGUCACAACCAAGUCGACCAGAACUAAAAGGAAGAGAUGGGCGAUGGUGGAGAGUACAGAUGCUUCAGUAGUGGCCUUGGAAGCAGGGAGCCUCAUAGUUACAACACCAAGGUUAGCAAAGCAGAGGGCCAUUAAAAACAACCAUGAGAUGCACCUAAAGCAGAGGAGGAAGAAGAGAAAAGGACAAGGCCCUCUGGAGGAAACAGAGACCACUGAGGAAAUAAACACUGAAGCAGCAGAACAACAGGAGAGUUCAGAGGAGAAGGGAACCCUGACAGAGUCCACAGUAGCUCUGCCAAUCAGCCCAGAUGAGAUCACAGAAGCCUCCCAGGUUACCAGUACAGAACUCAUUCUCAAACCCCGAAGAGGCAGGAAACCAUCAGCAAACUCAAGCAAAAGGAACAGAGGCAAAGCGUCAUCAGAGCAGAUUCCUGGCAAGCAGGUGAAGAUACACAAAAAGCCUGGGCCAAAACCAGGGAUGAAAGAUGCCAUGGAGGUAAUAGAGGCAGUAGUAAGGGCUGCUAGUUGUGAACAGGCUGAAAAAGAGGAGAGAGAAAAGGACAAAAGGGAAAGAAGAGAAGGAGAAAAUACAGAAAAAGAGGAAACAUCCAUUGUGGGUCCUGUAGUCACAGUAUCAGAGAAACGGACUGAGGUUAUUUCUGUGAAAAGAAUCAGGCGCAGACCUGUUCAUCAAAACCCUAAACUGUCUUUCUGUCCUUAUGUACGGAUUAACAACUCCAGAGACUUUUCCUCUUGGUGUGCCAUCGUCAACAAGCCUGAAGACGCAGUAAUAUUUCAGAGACGCAGGAAAAAGGGCAUAUUAAGGAUGAGGAAUCCUUUCACGGUUGCAAAAGUAGUGCCACACACUGCUGCCAUGUUACAGGGACCCACAGUAAAUAAAAAUCUAAUUAGUAGGUGUCUUACAUGUUCCCUGUGUGGAAAGCCAGCAAAUUACAAAGACCUAGGGGAUUUAUGUGGACCCUACUACACAGAGGACAGCGUUCCACGGAAAAUCCUGGUGAUCAGGCACACGGAACCCUUCAGGGAAGAGUCGGACAAGCCGAAUGAUGACAGCAGUAGCAGCAACGAAGUGCCAGGCGACUCCUCAAAGAGCGAGGGUGAGGGCAGCACAGAGAAAGAGGGAAACGCAGAAUCGUCCUCUCAAGAGGGCAGCAGUAGCCGGCACCAUCACUGGCGCUACCGACGGGCGGAGAGAAUGGAAAGAUCGGGUCGGGAGGGUGGUCCGCGAAGAUUAACUCUACGCGAGAGGUUCAGGAGGAUGAAGCAGCUCCAGGCCAUCAGCACAUUGGCCCCGAGGGACCAAGAGGGCAAUGACUGCAUGUUCCAAAGGCUACAAAUGGAGGCAGAGGCUAAGGAGCACUGGGCCCAUGAAAACUGUGCCAUCUGGACCAAGGGAAUAAUUAUGGUAGCUGGGAGGCUAUAUGGACUGAAGGAGGCUGCCAACAACUCAGCCCAAACGAGCUGCUACAAGUGCCAGAUUGUGGGGGCGUCCCUCAGCUGCUGUUGGAGAGGCUGCUCUCAUAAAUACCACUAUGUCUGCGCCAAAGAGAUAGGCUGCACAUUCCAUGAGGAUGACUUCUCCAUCAAAUGUCCCAAACAUGAGCACAGAACAGCAACAACAACAAAAAAUUGAAUUCGCACAUUUCUGUCACAAGCAGCAGUGCCCUGACUGGAUGGAUGAUACUGUGCAGAACAGAAAACACAAUUGUCAGCUCUUGUAAAACAGAACACGAAUCAAAGGAAAAGAAACAUGUUCACUGUAUGCUGGCAUCAAGUUCACUUCUCUUUUUGCCAGUGGAGGCAGAGAUCUAAUCUUGAACCGGCUGAUCGUUUGCCUCCGAAUCGAUAAAGUGACCUUGGCGAGACAACAAACCGUCACCCAUGACUUGAGACGACUGCGAUCACGGUGUGAUUUUAGAGUUAAUGUGAACGGUCCACUCUGGAUUCAGCUUUCCUGCAGGAUAGACGCCAUCUGGUGGAGGUUUGCUUCCACUGCAGCGCGAGGAGGAAGGACCUGUAAGAUAUUCCUGUGUACCACCUCCACCUAUCCAGCGAGGCAAAAUGCUGUCCGAACAGCCACCUACACCUGAAAACAUGGCGAUUACCGAUGAUGGACGGGCGUGCCGGCCGACGGGGCCGAGGGAGGCUGCACUGAGGUGGAGCUCGGAGCAAUACGAACCCUGGAGAUGGGCUCGGCGGAGAACAGCUGCUCCCCGAUCCCGGCCGGGAAAUGUGUUUUCUGAACUGAGCCCCUUACUGCAAGGCAGACGGCAGGGACGGUGUUUAACAGGAGGAUAAGGCUGCGCUUUGGAGACCCGCUGCACACGGGGGACUGUUUGAAAUGCAGAGCGAGGGACGUGUGUGUGUUCUGCCUUCGGAUGGUUGCUAUCAUAUUCAGACACCUGGCGGACACUGAUUGGACAGGAACAUCCCUCUGGCCACCUUGACUGUGGGCCAAGAGUGCAUAUGCCUGUGUGUGUGUGCGUGUGUGUGCAUGUGUGAUAACCAUACAAUUGUCAUUCUACGACCACGUCAUCAGUGUGUUUGUGCACACGUGUCUGUGCGAGUGUGAAAGAAGUGCAUCUCCAAUUCAAGAUGUCAUGCAUCGGGAGGAGAAAAAAAACAAAAAAAAAAAAGCAGCAGCCAACCACUGGAUGUACUAUCUCAAUGUGUGUGUGUUCAAAACAAGAGACAAAUAAGGGAACUGUACAUGAUGAUGUGCUUUACAGGUUCUAAAUAUUCUGACACCGGAAGUAAAAAAAAAAAAACACGGACGCAGUAUUUUAAUAUAAUGCUCUUAUCUUCGGAGAUGUAUUUUGAUGUGCAUUAUGACUAAACGACAUCAUUGCGUCACCCUUGGUAUAUGUCAGGCUUUGUGUUAUUCAGAAAUAAAUAUAUAUAUCUAUACAUAUAUAUAUAUGAAAACAACAAAAAAUUAAUACGGGCUCUGUUUAAGAGUUCGAACUGUGUGCACAUUCAAUAUGUACAGUAGACAUCAUCACUGGACGGGCUGGGAGUCGUGUCAUCUCACUUCAUAUCUAUGUACAGAUCAGAAGUAUUAACUGUUAACCAUUUCAACGAUUAUUUCACACGCCACCGCCGUGCAGAAAGAUUCAGUUCAGAUUUCACCUGUCCCUUUGUGUAUCUAAAAUGUAGCCUCUUUUCACGCCGCCAUGCUAUAUAACUAAAGCGCCGCGCAGGGCGUCAGUUUAAAGUACUGGUCAUAUCAAAAUGGAGACAUAUUUAAGUAUUAGAGCAUAAAAAAGUGCAAAAAACGCCACACCAAACUCUUUUAUGAAGCUCAUUAUUUAAUGGUGUAUAUAAGUAUUUGAUGCUGUUUAAAUGUAAGAUGUGAUGUACUAAUAUAAUUGUGUAUAGUAUUUCCUAGAGAUGUUUAUUUUCUAUAAAAUGGAAUAUGUUAUUGCUUAUAAAAUGUUAUUAAAAGAAUCCAUUGAUGAAAAAAAAUAACGACCUUUUUUGGGAAUGUCACUUGUCUUAAGUGGGAGCAUGCCGUUUUACUGAUUUUCAUGUCCUAUUUGUUUGGAAUUGAUGACACAGCAUCACUUUGUUUGAAAUGUUUUUGUAACGCCAAUGUUAAAUAUACCAGCACCUUUCAAUGCUGCUACGACCAA